UUAUUUGUAGAGUUUGAUCCUAGCUCAGGACGAACGCUGGCGGCGUGGAUAAGGCAUGCAAGUCGAACGGCCCGCAAGGGCAGUGGCAGACGAGGUAAUAACACGUAGGAACGCACCCCGAAGACGGGAAUAGCCCGGGGAAACCCGGAUUAAUACCCGAUAGUCUCUUAGGAGUAAAACCGUCGCAAGACGGGCUUUGGGAGCGGCCUGCGGGCUAUCAGCUAGUUGGUAGGGUAAUGGCCUACCAAGGCGAUGACGGCUAGGGGAGCUGAGAGGCUGACCCCCACCGAUGGAACUGCGAUACGGUCCAUACACCUACGGGUGGCCGCAGUCGAGAAUCUUCCGCAAUGGGCGAUAGCCUGACGGAGCGACGCCGCGUGAUGGAUGAAGCCCUUAGGG
rnacentral:rRNA from 1 species